UUUCAAAGAGGGGUUCAUUCGCGAGUCAAACUUUCUCCUGCAACAGACCACAAACUUUCUCCUCUCCGCUCGACAAGCCAACUUUCUCCGGUGUACGUCUGUAGUAGGUGCCUGCCCACCCAAGUAAACACACGCGUCUGAAGAAUAAAAGGACUUGCACAAUAGAAGCACCACUCCCUGCUCUUUCUCUACAAGUGCGCAGAUUUUUUAUACGUACGAAUAUUGAAGAAAAAUGAUGGCCAAACUUGUGCUCCUUUUGCUUGUGAGCGUUUUGCUGGUUCAAAACCUUCAUGCUGCCGCAUUUGGCAAGACGCGUUCUUUCAACAAGUAUUUGUACAAGGCGCAGCCCUUCCGGGAAGAAGGAAUUCAUCCCUCGUGGUGGAAACGGGCUAGUCUUGCGGAUCCUGCAGAUGAUGAAGGAGACGAUGAACCAAACAUGAUUUCUGAGCGAGCAAGUCGCCCAUUUGGAACUUGUCAUCCCAAAAACUGGUGGAAGGUGCGAGACAAGAUUUGCAUCCCAUUCAUUUGCGUGAUGGAUGACGCCGCAAGGAAUGAAAUUCUACUCAACGAUGGCGAUUGCGUCUGCAUGUUGCCCUACUUCGGGUGCAAAAUUUGGCAAUAAGUGAGCAAAAUUAACAACGUGAUUGGUGAAAUCAAUGUGAUUAUCAGGUUUAACUAUGGAACUAUGGCAAUCAGUCAAUUUGAUGGACAAUAAGCAAAAAUUUCAAUAUCUCACUCUCGUGACAAUAACAAUCAAACUGUGAAACGUAGUCGAAAAAGUAGUUUUCGUCUUUAAUGUGAUGUCAAUAAUUAUGUAAAAAUUGAAAUUAGAAUUUCGAAAAAUCUUAUAAUAAA